UACAACGUUACCAUCUAUUUCCGUGUCA
rnacentral:piRNA from 1 species